UUACAGUUCUGGAGACUGGGAAUUCCAAGAGCAUGAUACCAGCAUCUGGCGAGCGUUAUCCCCUGGUAGGAAGUAUCACAUGCUACAAGUAAAGCACUUGGAAUGGUAGAGUGCUUCCCUCAAUGGAUGGAAGGAGACUGGAUCCCUCUGACACUGACUGGAAGAGCUCUGCUAAGCAAAGCUGCGAGCUCAUGAAAGACUGUGAGGAGAGUAAGAGGUAACCUUUUAUUGUGUUAAGUCAUUAAUGUCAGGGUUUACUUGUUACUACAGCAUGGCUUCCUCUAACACCUCCUCUUAUCAACUGCCUUUUCUGAGUCUUUCCUUGACUCAUGAUUUUGAGUUAACUUAGUAAACUUACCAAAGGCUGACUUUGCACCAAGAAUCAUUAUAGGUACUGGAAAAUUUAAAAGAUGAAGGAGGUGGAGUCAUUUUUUCCUAAGGAGCUGGGAGAGGAGAUAAGAAAUGGGAUCAAAUAAUGAACAACAAGUUUCAAAGGGAUCAGAGUCCAAUAAAACCUGCCGCCUGAGCUCUUAAGAGAGAAAUGGAAAUCGUAGUUGUGAACAUCAGGCUUUCUAGAAGUGGCUGUACCAACAUCAGCCUUGAAAGAGCUCAAUCCAGCAGAUCCUGUCCCACUUGGAACCUGGCUAUGAGUGAGAAAACAUCUGUGGUUGGAAAAUGGGGCUGGUGAUUCAGGCCUGUUUGGGAAGAAGAUGCUCUUGAAUGCUUUGCUCAACAAACACCUCCCUUCUGCAAGGAGGUGAGAGGUCAUCUGUCUGUCUACUUUGACACUUUCACCCACUGAACUUCAGGGCUUAAGACACCUUCCCCAUAAAUUGGAGUGAGCGCGGCACAAACUGUCCCUGAAUUUGACCAUAACUGACUCACCAAAGGUCUGAGUAGGGGAGAAGGCAAAAACAGACAAACAGGCACUGAGGACUUUGCCAUCCCAGACCUGUGUCAUGUAAACAGGCUGUCUGCUUCACAGCCAAGGAAUGAGCCCUGGACGUGGGUCGGAACUGGAGCCUUAACAGCUAAUACCCAGAGCCUUUGACUGUGGACGACUGUGUUCAAAGGGGCAGGCUGCCCACUACUAGGGCAUGGAGGAGAGGCAGGAUGUGGGGAAAGAGUGUGGUUUUGGAAUCAGACACAACUGGUCCCCGCCACUUACUCAGCCUUGUGACCUCAGAUGAAAAAGUCUCUUAUUCUUACUAAGGCUCAGUUUCCCCAACUGUGAAACUGACAUAACACUAUGGACUUCAAAAGGCUUUACAAGCAAAACAAUUUAUAAAACAAUUUAUUCAACAAUUUAUUCAGGCACUUAGCACAGUGCUAGCACAUAGAUAUAAGUAACAGUUUUUUUUCUCUGUUCCUUCUACGUGGAGGAGAGGCAUCUGUUGUCUCUUCAAGUUAAUUAAUUUGAAAAUAUCCAGUAGCAACCAUUUCUUAAAUUCCUCUUACGAGCCAUUUAGUUUUGCAACAACUGCAAGAUAGACAGUAUUAUUCCCAUUUUACAGAUAUGGACAUUGAAGCUCAGGAGGUACACCGGAUAUAGUGACUUUGAUCUUCUCAUUGCCCUGACACUGAUGAGAGAGAGAUAACAAAAUCAAAAAGAACAGUUGGAGGAAUAAAUGUCAAAUAUAGGAGGCUGGAAGCAUAGUCUCUAACCUCAGUCUAGCCUCGGAUAAUAGCAUUUUCAUCUUGCUACAGCAGUAGCAGACACCAGCUGGGUGCCUUCUCCCUAUUUUAUUCAUUUGUAUGUUCAUUGAGCAAUUUAUCUAUUGCUAAUUCCUUAGCAAGCAUUUACUGUGACCUUCCUUUUAUUAUUACUAUUAUUAUUAUUCAUUUUAGAGACAGGGCUAUGCCAUUAUGUUGCCUACGCUGGAGGGCAGUGGUUAUUUACAGGUGUGAUGCCGCUACUGAUCAGCAUGGGAGUUUUGACCUGAUUCAUUUCUGAUCUGGGCCCAUUUGCCCCUCCUUAGGCAACCUGUGAUGCCCCACUCCCAGGAAGUCACUGUAUUGAUGCUGAACUUAGUGUGGGCACUUCAUGGGCACAGCACACUACAGCCCAGAACUCCUGGGCUCAAGUGAUCCUUCCACCACAGCUUUUCCAGCAGCUGGGACUACAGGUACAUGCCAUUGUGCUCAGCUACUGUGUACUUCCUAUGUCCUCAAAUCCUGCUACUCAAAACAUAAUUCCUAAGCCAGAAGCAUCAGCAUCACUGAGAGCUUAUUAGAAAUGCUGAUUCUCAGGCCUAACCUCGGACCAACUGAACCAGAGAAUCUGCAUUUUAACAAGAUCCCUGGGUGAUUCACAGCAUAUAUGAAAGAUUGAAAAUUGCUAUCCUUGAUGCUUUUCUUUUUUUUUUUUUUUUUUUGAGAU
rnacentral:lncRNA from 1 species